rnacentral:rRNA from 1 species
UACGAAGGGGGCUAGCGUUGUUCGGAAUUACUGGGCGUAAAGCGCACGUAGGCGGCGCAGCAAGUCAGGGGUGAAAUCCCGGAGCUCAACUCCGGAACUGCCUUUGAAACUGCAGUGCUAGAAUUCUGGAGAGGCGAGUGGAAUUCCGAGUGUAGAGGUGAAAUUCGUAGAUAUUCGGAAGAACACCAGUGGCGAAGGCGACUCGCUGGACAGACAUUGACGCUGAGGUGCGAAAGCGUGGGGAGCAAACAGG